GGAGGAGUUAACAGGGAAGUGGAAGCGAGAGAUAGCACGAAAGAGAGAGAGACUGCAACAGUAAUUAAGUAAAUCAUUUACAAGCAAGUGAACGAAGAAGCUUUUGAUUUCUCAUGCAUGCAAUGCACUUAAUUUCCAAACUGGCAUACAUUGAAAUUUGUCACUUUGAAGGUAAAAAUGAGUGCAGCAGCCCUGAGAGUCACGGUAGAUUUCUGACAACAACUUUAUGGCUGAAAGGAAUGAUUUCAUCCCUGUGAAUCUGGUAAUGUACUCCGUAGCAACAAAGGCCAUGUUUCAGGCAGUCCUGUCCUCCUCUCCCAAUCACAGUGAGUGGGCCUGGGUUGGCUCGCAGAGGUAAAGCCACAAGCUGGAAACACUGGAGUCGGUGAUACUGGACAACCAGGUUUAGAGGAUUUUUGGGUGAGGAAAAUAUAAGUUUGUGUUUAAGAAAAGAUGGAGGAGACUCAAGUGGUGUUGUAUAAAGUUACGCUCACCUGCAACAAUAAUAAAUAUAUAGAUAGGAGAUAGGUUUACUGAUCAGAGUCAAGAAGAGCAAAGGUACUUUGCAUACCUUCUUUACUGCCAGUUGCUACUUUUGUCAAUUAAAUGCCCAAUUUUCACCAACAGACCUGAAUUGAAGUUGUGUGAGGUAGACUGUUGUCUUCUACAACAGUGGUUCCCAACCUUUUCUGCGCCACGGACCGGUUACAUGUUAGACAAUAUUUUCACGGACCGGCCUUUAUAUAAAUAUAUAAACAAAUAAUACAUUUAUAAUAAAAAACGCAUAAAAAAAAAAAACUCACCAUUAAGUAUCUGCUCCGUAGCUUUGCGGGCUGGACUGGGGAAACGUGAUACGUGACCAGGACGAGCGUCUUGACCUGAAUUAAUUGAUCGUUGAUACUUUUUUUUUUUUUUUCUGUGUGGCCCGGUACUAAAUGACCCACGGACCGGUACUGGCGCACGGCCCGGUGGUUGGGGACCUCUGUUCUACAACAUAUUGUCUGACUUCAUGUACGGCUGCAAUUAUUGCUCUGAGGUUUUGUAUGACGUAGCAUCUUGUGCGUAAGUGACUCUAACAUUAGACCCUCCAUAUGUCCACCCUGCAAGUAAUGUAAUGCAUCCUUUGAUUCAUGUGUAUGCCAGGCCAACUUUUGUGGUCAGUAGCCCAGCACCCUGUGCCAAAUCCUCAGUAUCUGUGAAGCUGUGUCAUGCUGCCUGCUGCUCAUAUGUGAUCUCGAGCCCAUGAUUUAUCCACUUGAUCCUUGCAUACAGAUUCAGUGCCGAUAUAGGCAAGCCAAGGUCACAAAAGAGCAGUGCACUGCAAACAAGAUUGAAACAUUCAUAGGAGAAAG